rnacentral:rRNA from 1 species
GAUGAACGCUAGCGGCAGGCCUAAUACAUGCAAGCCGAACGGUAAUUCUGAUAGCAAUAUUGGAACUAGAGUGGCGUAAGGGUGCGUAACACGUAUGCAAUCUACCCGCAACAGGAGGAUAGCUCCCCGAAAGGGGAAUUAACCCUCCAUGAGAUCACACGAGGGCAUCCGAGAGUGAUUAAAUUUGAGGAGGUUGUGGAUGAGCAUGCGACUGAUAGCUAGUUGGCAGUGUAACGGACUACCAAGGCGAUGAUCAGUAGGGGAACUGAGAGGUUGAUCCCCCACACUGGC